CGCUCCCUCUGGCGGCAGGCUUAACACAUGCAAGUCGAGCGGGCACUUCGGUGUCAGCGGCAGACGGGUGAGUAACACGUGGGAACGUACCCUUCGGUUCGGAAUAACGCUGGGAAACUAGCGCUAAUACCGGAUACGCCCUUUUGGGGAAAGGUUUACUGCCGAAGGAUCGGCCCGCGUCUGAUUAGCUAGUUGGUGGGGUAAUGGCCUACCAAGGCGACGAUCAGUAGCUGGUCUGAGAGGAUGAUCAGCCACACUGGGACUGAGACACGGCCCAGACUCCUACGGGAGGCAGCAGUGGGGAAUAUUGGACAAUGGGCGCAAGCCUGAUCCAGCCAUGCCGCGUGAGUGAUGAAGGCCUUAGGGUUGUAAAGCUCUUUUGUCCGGGACGAUAAUGACGGUACCGGAAGAAUAAGCCCCGGCUAACUUCGUG
rnacentral:rRNA from 1 species